rnacentral:rRNA from 1 species
UUGGGAAUCUUCCACAAUGGGCGAAAGCCUGAUGGAGCAACGCCGCGUGUGUGAUGAAGGGUUUCGGCUCGUAAAACACUGUUGUAAGAGAAGAAUGACAUUGAGAGUAACUGUUCAAUGUGUGACGGUAUCUUACCAGAAAGGAACGGCUAAAUACGUGCCAG